rnacentral:tRNA from 1 species
AAUAGAAUAGGAUAAAAAAUCCAAAAGAUUCAUAUUCUUUAGAUGCUUAAAGCUUCUAUUA